rnacentral:rRNA from 2 species
CCGUAGGUGAACCUGCGGAAGGAUCAG